GAGGAUGAUGAUUUCAUAUUUGUCGCUCCAGUCUUAGGGUCUGCAUUGCUGGAUCUGUGCUGAUUGACAUACUUCUGAAUCUGACUU
rfam:Triticum aestivum genome assembly, contig: Triticum_aestivum_CS42_TGACv1_scaffold_306882_4AS